AUUGAACGCUGGCGGCAGGCUUAACACAUGCAAGUCGAACGAGUGGCGGACGGGUGAGUAAUGCUUGGGAAUCUGGCUUAUGGAGGGGGAUAACUACGGGAAACUGUAGCUAAUAACGCGUACCAUAGGAUGAGCCCAAGUGGGAUUAGGUAGUUGGUGGGGUAAAGGCGCAACAAGCCGACGAUCUCUAGCUGGUCUGAGAGGGUGAACAACCCACCUGGGACUGAGACACGGCCCAGACUCCUACGGGAGGCAGCAGUGGGGAAUAUUGCGCAAUGGACGAAAGUUGACGGAGCAACGCCGCGUGAGUGAUGACGGCCUUCGGGUUGUAAAGCUCUGUUAAUCGGGAGACGGUACCGGAAUAGAAAGCCACGGCUAACUACGUGCCAGCAGCCGCGGUAAUUC
rnacentral:rRNA from 1 species